rnacentral:rRNA from 1 species
GAUGAACGCUGGCGGCGUGCCUAAUACAUGCAAGUCGAGCGAACGGACGAGAAGCUUGCUUCUCUGAUGUUAGCCGCGGACGGGUGAGUAACACGUGUAUAACCUACCUAUAAGACUGGGAUAACUUCGGGAAACCGGAGCUAAUACCGGAUAAUAUUUUGAACCGCAUGGUUCAAAAGUGAAAGACGGUCUUGCUGUCACUUAUAGAUGGAUCCGCGCUGCAUUAGCUAGUUGGUAAGGUCACGGCUUACCAAGGCAACGAUGCAUAGCCGACCUGAGAGGGUGAUCGGCCACACUGGAACUGAGACACGGUCCAGGCUCCUACGGGAGGCAGCAGUAGGGAAUCUUCCGCAAUGGGCGAAAGCCUGACGGAGCAACGCCGCGUGAGUGAUGAAGGUCUUCGGAUCGUAAAACUCUGUUAUUAGGGAAGAACAUAUGUGUAAGUAACUGUGCACAUCUUGACGGUACCUAAUCAGAAAGCCACGGCUAACUACGUG